rnacentral:rRNA from 1 species
AGGACGAACGCUGGCGGCGUGCUUAACACAUGCAAGUCGAGCGGAAAGGCCCUUCGGGGUACUCGAGCGGCGAACGGGUGAGUAACACGUGAGUAAUCUGCCCCUAGCUCUGGGAUAGCUCCGGGAAACCGGGAUUAAUACCGGAUACGACCACUACGGACAUCUGUGGUGGUGGAAAGAACUUCGGCUAGGGGUGAGCUCGCGGCCCAUCAGCUUGUUGGUGGGGUAACGCCUACCAAGGCGACGACGGGUA